GAUCCUGGCUCAGGAUGAACGCUAGCGGCAGGCCUAACACAUGCAAGUCGAGGGGUAGAAGGAGCUUGCUCCUUUGAGACCGGCGCACGGGUGAGUAACGCGUACGUAACCUGCCUUACAGAGGGAAUAGCCCUGGGAAACUGGGAUUAAUACUCCAUAGUAUAUAGAUGGCGCAUGCUGUUUAUAUUAAAGUUGAGGCGCUGUAAGAUGGGCGUGCGUGCUAUUAGCUAGUUGGUGAGGUAACGGCCCACCAAGACUACGAUGGAUAGGGGUUCUGAGAGGAAGGUCCCCCACAUUGGAACUGAGACACGGUCCAAACUCCUACGGGAGGCAGCAGUGAGGAAUAUUGGUCAAUGGACGAGAGUCUGAACCAGCCAAGUAGCGUGAAGGAUGACUGCCCUAUGGGUUGUAAACUUCUUUUAUAUGGGAAUAAAGUAUUCCACGUGUGGGAUUUUGUAUGUACCAUAUGAAUAAGGAUCGGCUAACUCCGUG
rnacentral:rRNA from 1 species